rnacentral:rRNA from 1 species
GCGUGCGUAGGCGGUUAAUUAAGUCAGAUGUGAAAUCCCGGGGCUCAACCUCGGAACUGCAUUUGAAACUGGUUAACUAGAGUACUGUAGAGGGUGGUGGAAUUUCCAGUGUAGCGGUGAAAUGCGUAGAKAUUGGAAGGAACAUCAGUGGCGAAGGCGGCYACCUGGACAGAUACUGACGCUGAGGCACGAAAGCGUGGGGAGCAAACAGGAUUAGAUACCCUGGUAGUCCACGCCGUAAACGAUGUCAACUAGCUGUYUGUAGACUUGAUCUGUGGGUAGCGUAGCUAACGCGCUAAGUUGACC